UUAGUACUUCCUCCGUUCAAAAAUUCUUGUCUUAAAUUUGUCUAGAUACAGAUGUAUCUAAUACUAAAAAAUGACUUGAUACAUUCGUAUUUUGACAAAUUUAAGACAAGAAUUUUGGGACGGAGGGAGUAUUCU
rnacentral:pre_miRNA from 1 species